rnacentral:lncRNA from 1 species
UAACAGUUAUAUAUCAUGUCUUACAGAUAAAAUUAUUUUCUAAUAAAAGACAACUAAGAAUUCACAGCUGUUAUGUCCAUGAUUAAUUUAUUUAAUGCCAGUCUCAAUCAUUCACUAAUCACUAAACAGCUAUGCCAUUUCAGGCUUUAUUACAGGUCAUCAACAUUUUUGUGGAAACCCAUCAAAUUGUAUAGGAUAGGAAUCAAUGAGUCCGAUACAGCCCCUUAUAUAAAUUUUCCAAUGAGUGGGUUUUAUAAUUCAAUCCCAGGAUCUCUGAUUGGAAAGCUGAAGUAUUUUUAUCCACUAAUCCUGCCAAAUGUUUCAUGUGAUGUAUAAUUUAAUUAAUAUAUUGUUCAUAGAAAAUAUCGUAUACUUGAGUUAUUAUUUAUAUAAAAUAUAGAC